rnacentral:rRNA from 1 species
AUUGAACGCUGGCGGCAGGCCUAACACAUGCAAGUCGAACGAGUGGCGGACGGGUGAGUAAUGUCUGGGACUCUGCCUGAUGGAGGGGGAUAACUACUGGAAACUGUAGCUAAUACCGCAUACCAUCAGAUGUGCCCAGGUGGGAUUAGGUAGUUGGUGGGGUAAAGGCUCACCAAGGCGACGAUCCCUAGCUGGUCUGAGAGGAUGACCAGCAACACUGGAACUGAGACACGGUCCAGACUCCUACGGGAGGCAGCAGUGGGGAAUAUUGCACAAUGGGCGCAAGCCUGAUACAGCCAUGCCGCGUGUAUGAAGAAGGCCUUCGGGUUGUAAAGUACUUUCAGCGGGGAGGCGUUACCAGCAGAAGAAGCACCGGCUAACUCCGUGCCAGCCGCCGCGGUAAUAC